rfam:Nicotiana attenuata strain TT chromosome 5, whole genome shotgun sequence.
AGCUCAGUGGUAGAGCGCCAGUGUUGUAAACUGGAGGUUUGUAGUUCGAUCCUGCA